rnacentral:lncRNA from 1 species
UAUAUAUAUAGUUUCUUAUUGGAAACCAAAUGAAAAUGAAGAUGAUGACGGUGUUGAGUAUGAUAUGAGCAAAUAUCAACUUUCUGCAGACAUAAUAAGCGGUGAUAUGGUGAUAACAUAACAGAAUUGUGUAAUAAUAAGGUAGUCGGGUAGUUACCGACAUCCAACAACCAGGGUUGACCUGGUUGCAACAUGCUAUGGGAAACCAAAGCUCAUUUACUUUUUGACAUAAGCAAAUUGCUUGGCUUAUGACAAUUAAUGUUUAUCAUUGAUGUUUAUCAUUAUCAAUGAUGGCAAUGCAAUUUUCUAUCAAGUAUAACAGAGUUUCGCUUGCGUGGAUUGAGAGAUGUUAAACAGUAUUGAAGGGUCUGCUAUCGAUUUUUUUGUUUGGUAAUGGGAAGUUUUUUGUGUA